rnacentral:lncRNA from 1 species
AUUGUUCCACCAGCAGAAGUAAAAAGCUAUUAGCUUUUUAAAAUUUCUGCUCUUAGAACUUAGAUCUCUGGAAAGGAUUUCUGAAUUUUAGGUGGUAGGCUGAACUGAAAUAUAUUGGUGGUCUCAAAUCUGGCUCUGCAUCGGACUCACUAGGAGAAUGUUAGAAAAAUAGAUUUCCUAGACCUCACCUUCAGAAAUUCUAAAUCUGGCGCAAGGCCCUGGGAAUUGGUAGUUCUAAAAAGCUCUUAGAUGAUUUUGAAGUGCAGCCAUCCAUUAGCUCUGGCAACAUCUUUUUACCUCACUUUGCUUUAGUUUUUCCAUCCAGGGACUCCAGUACUUAAAAAUUCUUCACCGGUGCAGUUAGUAAGAAGCACUUGAAGAGCUAUUUUACAGUUCUUCUGCUUUGGCCUUUCUCUUAGAGACUCUGAAUCAGUAGGGGCUGAGAGACUCUGAAUCAGUAGGGGCUGAGAUGAGUCUUUUGAGAAAACUCCACAGACUAUUGAUCCAAUUUUGCAUUUAGCCAAGAGUCAUCACACUGGGUGGUUUCUAAGGUCCUUUACAGUUAAAAACUUGAAUAAUAGAUGUCAUAUAGCACUAGGAUUUAAAAAGUCUAAAUAAAAAAGGUAGAGAAGAAAAAUGUGUUGUCUCCUCCCUAAUCUUCAAGUGGCCAUACUAUUAAAUUAUUUAAAUGCCU